AUCUGAUGGAUUGGGGACACAGAGAGGGAGUGUGCGGGUAUCAGCCUGGGAGAUCCAAGGGUACAGGCAAAGAUGUAGCAAAAAUUAGAGUGAGUGGAAAAAGAACAAUUCUCAUUUUGUUUUGCUGUAGGAGAAAGAGACCUGCUAACAGAGUUCAAGAUUGUAAUGACUCAGAGAAUAUUUAAAUAUAGUUCUUUCUUUCUUUUUUUAUUAAGACUUUUAAAUGCAGAGAUUUAUAAAGCUUUGAGAUUUUAAAGGUUUGAGAUGUUAGAGAAAGAACACAGUGACAUGAGACCAAAAUGAUGUAAGGUGAUGACAUCAGCAUGAGGACGCUGUUGCUAAGUACAGAGAGAAGAGGGCACAGCCGAGAAAUACUAUUAAAGAAACAAGGGGUGGAACUUAGCAGCAGAUUGGAGGCCAGAGCAGCUGAACACAGAAGUCCCACCCACGUGAACGUCUUCCGAGUUCUCCCUGGACUUCGCCUCUGCUGCUUGAAACAUGCUCCGGCAGUGUUCCCAGGACACACUGCCUCACCUCUGCAAAUCUCUGCUCAGAGGGUUCUUUUGCGAGGAGUCCUGUUCUGCCAGUACAAUAAUUCAUUUUGGAAGACAAAUGAUCAAUGGCAAGUUCCCCAUCUAUGAACAGCUGGCAACAUUGGCACCCUCUUUGUCUUACCCUGUUCUUCCCUCUUUGGCCCACAAACAUCUGAAAUUCUAGGCUUCACCCACAUCAGACCCAUCUCAGAAGCCUGUUUUGAAAUGACCUCAGUUUCAGGUCUGGGCAUGUUCAAUAACCUCUGGCCUGAUCUUCUCUCUGCAACUUCAAAUGCCCUUGGGCCUCAGAACAUGAGGCCUGAUGCAACUGCUACACCAGAAGAAACAAUGGGACAGUUGAGGUUGACCAACCCGUUGGGAUGCUUGCCUUAGCGCCAUGAUUCCCAGACUGUGCUAUGAGUCACACUGGGCGACUAUGGUGGACUCACAGGGGUUCCAUAGGCUAUUUUAUAUUUCCAGCGGAAUCACAGCCAUACUCUACAUCUGUCAGACACUGUGAAAACUACUAAUUCAAGGGGAUUCGGUUUCAGAAUCACACUACAUUCCUUUUGAUGAUUCCAGGCGUCUUUGCAAAGUUGGAUUUUCAGCAGUUGCUAAGAUGUAAAGCAAGUACUGUACGGAAAAAAAAAAAAGUACUGCAGGAAAUGAGCAUGGUGGUUCCAAUCUGAUUUCAAGUUUUGAGUCUCGUGUGCAGUGCCCAAUAGGCAUUCACAAUCCAUUAAUAACUAACCAGGAUUAUUUAAAGUGAAAUACAAAUACUGGGUUUUUUUCAAACAUUUUGUUAUUAACUUUUCAAAUAGCUACUCAGUUGUUAAAACAUAAACACUAAGUUGUUAAGCCCUAAUUACUUAAUAAAUAAAACAAUUUGGUAUUUCUUUUGGCCAAAGGAACACAGUGAAUAAAAAUACUAAACAUCAUGAGCACCAAAAAAAACAAGACAUUUUGGAAAUCUCUAUUUUAGUCCAUUACUAUUACAACCAUUUUGACAUAAUAGUAAUUACUCUUCAGAGAAUUCUAGAACCUGAGAAUGAUGAUGAUGAUGAUGAUGAUAACAGUAGUCGUGACAGAAGUAGCUAAGAUAUUUUGAGCAUUUAUUAUGUGCCAUGUUCUGUGUGAAGGAUGUCUUAGCCAUUAUUUCAUUUACAUGCUUUAUGUAAUUUAUUUUAUUCGAUUUUCCUUAACCCAGAAAUGUUGGUCCUAAUUUUUUCCCAGAGUCUUCUGCCCCUGGACCUAUGGAGAAAAUGUAAAAGCCAGUUGACCUUUCUUGUGAUAAAUUCAAUUGAGAACAAUUUUCUGACAAUUAUAAAACCAAUUUUCUAUUGUCUGCUGCAUUUUCAAUAACCCACACAUUAAAAAAAUUACCAGUCUCUUCCAAAGUAGGCAAAUUUUCCCCAGAAUCCUAAAUAAAAAUCCGUCAACCAAAAUUAAUUCAGCUGUGUUCCAUGCUAGGCACCGUGGAGGAAACAAAAAGACUUGAAUGCAUGGUCUCUGCCUUCAAGGCACUUCCCAUAAGGUUUAUACAUAAAACACCCAGGGGACAAAGAACAACAGCACAUGCUGAAGGAUUAAGUGGGGAAAUAUAGGCUAGAAAUAUUAUGUCCGGAGAGAAAUAUGCCAUACGACUUAAUGUGCCAUACGACAGGAAGGCUGCCUGCAACUUGCCUUCCUGUCUCAUUUCUCUGUUACUGUAAACAACCUCCCCUUCUUUUCUAGCCACCUCUUCUGGAAAGCCAACACUUCCAUCUGUUCUAGGACACCUAUCCUUUUCCACUUGAAGGAAAACUGUGUUUUUCUGUGGAAAUCACCUACAUAGUAAACAUAUCACAGAUCAAUUUUCUUCUUGCCCAUAAGCUUGCUAACUUUGGUAUACC